UGGGGAGGGCCUGAGAGCAGGACUGCUAGCAGCCCCCACGCCUUCUCCAUCUCCUUCCGGACCCCCAGAUCCCUGUCCCUGUCCAAGAAGACAUACGAGCAGAAGUGUCGGGACGCGGAUGACGCCGAGCAGGCCUUCGAGCGCAUUAGCGCCAACGGCCACCAGAAGCAGGUGGAGAAGAGUCAGAACAAAGCCAGGCAGUGCAAGGACUCGGCCACCGAGGCAGAGCGGGUAUACAGGCAGAGCAUCGCGCAGCUGGAGAAGGUCCGGGUCGAGUGGGAGCAGGAGCACCGGACCACCUGUGAGGCCUUUCAGCUGCAAGAGUUUGACCGGCUGACCAUUCUCCGCAACGCCCUGUGGGUGCACAGCAACCAGCUCUCCAUGCAGUGUGUCAAGGAUGAUGAGCUCUAUGAGGAAGUGCGGCUGACGCUGGAAGGCUGCAGCAUAGACGCAGACAUCGACGGCUUCAUCCAGGCCAAGAGCACGGGCACAGAGCCCCCCGCUCCGGUGCCCUACCAGAACUACUACGAUCGGGAGGUCACCCCGCUGACCAGCAGCCCUGGCAUACAGCCAUCCUGCGGCAUGAUAAAGAGGUUCUCUGGACUGCUGCACGGAAGUCCCAAGACCACUUCGUUGGCAGCUUCUGCUGCCUCCACAGAGACCCUGACCCCCACCCCCGAGCGGAAUGAGGGUGUCUACGCAGCCAUCGCAGUGCAGGAGAUGCAGGGAAACCCGGCCUCGCCAGCCCAGGAGUACAGGGCGCUCUACGAUUAUACAGCGCAGAACCCAGAUGAGCUGGACCUCUCCGCGGGAGACAUCCUGGAGGUGAUCCUGGAAGGGGAGGAUGGCUGGUGGACUGUGGAGAGGAACGGGCAGCGUGGCUUCGUCCCUGGUUCCUACCUGGAGAAGCUUUGAGGAAAGGCCAGGAGCCCCUUCAAACCUGCCCUGCCAGUGGAGCCAGCAGUGCCCCCAGCACUGUCCCUGCCUUGCUGGGGCCCAGAACCAAGCGUCCCCCAGCCCUGAGAGGGAGCCUGUCUCCCAGGGAAUAA
rnacentral:sRNA from 1 species